rnacentral:rRNA from 1 species
UACGUAGGGUGCGAGCGUUGUCCGGAAUUAUUGGGCGUAAAGAGCUCGUAGGCGGUUUGUCGCGUCUGCUGUGAAAACCCGAGGCUCAACCUCGGGCCUGCAGUGGGUACGGGCAGACUAGAGUUCGGCAGGGGAGACUGGAAUUCCUGGUGUAGCGGUGAAAUGCGCAGAUAUCAGGAGGAACACCGGUGGCGAAGGCGGUUCUCUGGGCCUUACCUGACGCUGAGGAGCGAAAGCAUGGGGAGCAAACAGG